CACUUGGAGUGCUUCAGGGAUCGCCCCCUGAGCCUGGCCCUGGCCUUUGAGGCGCUCCUCCAGCUAAGUUUUAUGAGACCCCAUUUCAGCCACGCUACGAUCAGUGCUAUCCUGCACAAGACAAUUGAAGCUGUACUGGGGGGACAGGAGGAGGACAAAGAGGAACUGAAGAGGCCAUUCGAGAGUCUGCUGGGGGGUCUGCUCCUAGAAGCCCCUAAUCCUGGCACCCUCCUCCAGCUUCUUACUG